CACGUAGGGCGCAAGCGUUGUCCGGAAUUAUUGGGCGUAAAGAGCUCGUAGGCGGUCUGUUGCGUCUGCUGUGAAAACUCGGGGCUUAACCCCGAGCCUGCAGUGGAUACGGGCAGACUAGAGGUAGGUAGGGGAGAAUGGAAUUCCCGGUGUAGCGGUGAAAUGCGCAGAUAUCGGGAGGAACACCGGUGGCGAAGGCGGGUCUCUGGGCAACAACUGACGCUGAGGAGCGAAAGCGUGGGGAGCUAACAGG
rnacentral:rRNA from 1 species